UCUCGCCAGUCUCUAGUCUCUACCAGCGUUCGAGCCCUCAUGUCAGAACUCAGAACCCCGGGAUCUGACACCUCAGCCGUCGCCGUCGCCGCCGCCGCCGGCGGCACAUGCGUCGGCACCGCCGCUGAAGCUUCUCUCUCCUCCCUCUCCGGGAUUGGUGCGGAAUGGAUCGGGGAUAUACGGGUUUCUUCUCUUCGUAAGCACAGCCUCCAGAGGAUACAAACCAGUACAAGGAGUAGGAGGGAUACCACAGGAACUAUCACUGCGAUGAGCAAGAUAGACCACAUGCUGCCGUGCACGAUGAUCGUAUGAACCUGCGCCAUAAAUAGCACACGUCUAAUUUGUACCCCAAUCUGUUACUGAUCGUAAUCGUACCGUCGUCUGGAGAAGUGGUGAGGUUGUCUGUAUGAACAAGCGAGUACACCUCGAAUGCGUUGAUGAGCGGCUGGAGCUCCGAGCUGGGCGUCUUGCGCAGGGUGAAGUUGAGGCCCCUCUUGCGCAAGAACUUACCACUCUGAUAUGUGCUCUCCGCUCGGAACAGGGGUGGUAUGUAGUUGGGAAACAUCAGGUUUCCAUCGUUAUAGAUAUCAAACGUUCUAUUCUGGUUGUUGCCUCCAAUAUCGGCAAAGUGGAAGAUUGGUAGCAGCUCCAAGCUCCUGUAGUCGAUGUUGUUGAUGUUGUCGAUGUUUUUCAUGUUGUCCGGAAAUAUCACGCUGACGUUAAACUCUGAGAAAUUGCUGCUUAUGGUUGAGGCCUUCUGAAGGAUGGGCAUCGGCACCUGAAAGUCGUCAUUUCCAGGAAGCUUUGUCACGUCUUGGUUGGUGGUCAUGUUGAGGAAGGGAAAUUUGUAGCGUAGGGCUGCCUCCCAGAAACGAUCGAAGGGAUCAGUUGGAUAUCUUGAUCACCACAGGAGAUACAUGGAAAUGAUUGAAAUUGUGAGGAAGACUAUGAUUACAACGUCAAUGAUUGAAACCGAAAAAAAAAACUUUUGAAUCACCUCGUGAUGUAAUCAUCGACCGAGCCAUAUCUUUGUCGAGCCAAAUGGCUGAUUGAAACAGAAAGAUUCAGAAAUGGGAACAUUGCACCAUCCAAUUCCCUCAAGUCUAAUGUAGAUACGAAGGGAGUUCCUGAUCCCAAGUUUAUCAGACAGACGGAUAUGAAUU